AUCCUGCCGCCGCAGUUGCUGCCGAAGAAAAUGGCGCCCUCCAAAUCCCAGCGCCCUUGGUGACCGCCUAGGUCGCCUAAAUGGUUGCACCGGCCCUGACCCCAAUCACUUCUGCCCCUCAGAGUCACGGCCUCAUCACCGCCCCAUCUCUACUCCCCCCCACAUCUCACCAUCCCCACAACAUACCUUACACUCAGGGCCGGCUCCUGGCACCAGCCCAGCAAGCAGCUGCUUGGGGCGGCCAACGGUGAGGGGUGGCACGUCCGGGUCUUCGGCGGCAAUUCGGCGGCGAGUCCCUUGCUCCCUCUCCAUUUUUGGAUAGAGAAGGUUUGAUGUUCCUUAUCUGAAUGAGAAAAUUAAAAAUGUAUCUUCAUGCUUUAAGAACGUUGAGAACCUUUGAUGCUUGAAUAACUCAAAGACUAUUUGCAUUUAAACACAAGUAGCACCUAGAGGCUCCAACCAAGAUCUGAUUCCCUUUGUGCCUGACACAUAGUAAGAGACAGUCCCUACCCUGAAGAUCUUACAAUCUAAAUGGACAAGACAAAGAGUUUGAGAGGAAACAGAACUGAAUUUGCAGGUUACAGGCCAGCCCAAUCUCCUCCUCAACAUUAUGAAGGAUUAAAAUCUGAGGGAACAACUCCACAGCUUCCAUAUCCAUAUGCCAGAACAAAGAAAACUGUAGAAAAGCAACAUGAUGGAAUAUGUGUUGAAAUGAAAUAAUUGUACAGUAAUUCUAC